rnacentral:rRNA from 1 species
UAGGGAAUCUUCGGCAAUGGGGGCAACCCUGACCGAGCAACGCCGCGUGAGUGAAGAAGGUUUUCGGAUCGUAAAGCUCUGUUGUAAGUCAAGAACGGGUGUGAGAGUGGAAAGUUCACACUGUGACGGUAGCUUACCAGAAAGGGACGGCUAACUACGUGCCAGCAGCCGCGGUAAUACGUAGGUCCCGAGCGUUGUCCGGAUUUAUUGGGCGUAAAGCGAGCGCAGGCGGUUUGAUAAGUCUGAAGUUAAAGGCUGUGGCUCAACCAUAGUUCGCUUUGGAAACUGUCAAACUUGAGUGCAGAAGGGGAGAGUGGAAUUCCAUGUGUAGCGGUGAAAUGCGUAGAUAUAUGGAGGAACACCGGUGGCGAAAGCGGCUCUCUGGUCUGUAACUGACGCUGAGGCUCGAAAGCGUGGGGAGGCGAACAGGAUUAGAUACCCUGGUA